rnacentral:lncRNA from 1 species
ACUGGUCAGAUAUACUCACGGAGGGCUGCUGUCACCUGUCAUCACUGCUGGACAGAUGAUUUCAACACAGACAUUACAAGUGGUCCAGCCUCUUCAUAAGCCUGCACUAAAGACACUGAAGCUUGUGAUCACCCGUGUCAGGACAAGGAAUGGCAUCUCCCUAACAGGACUCAAGAGCCUUUGCCAUUAUCUGUGGUAUUAAGCAGGUUUCAAUUAGGAUUUUAGGUGGAUUUUUUUCUUUGUUCCGCAGAAGUUUUAAUCAAGGCAGAAAAACUCUGACGCCUCAUUCUCCUCACAACAGUCAGUCACCAAAGCGUUGCAUUUUUCUUCCUGAAGCUUCCCCUCCCUCGGGCACAUUUUUAGCAAAAAAGAUGAGAUCCCAAGCUCUCCAGAUGUUGCCUCUCAGAUGUGCCUCAGCACGCAUCUCAGAGCCAUCUGGCCGCAGCAACAGCUGGACUGCUUCCAAGUGGAAGUGCUCACAGAUCUAGCUGUCCUGGGCUGCCUUUCUCCACGGUAGCAGGCAGAGGGAGCCAAGCAGAGAUGGGAGCUCUAGGAGAUUUUCCCACUGAUGCCCCUAGGCACCCCAGUCCUGGGCAGCCUCUUCUCAGACUGCCAAGGAGCCACCAUUGCAACUGAUGGCCUCGUCCUGUGAGAACAACCAUGCGUCAGGCACUGGCUAUACGGACUGAGAAGCUGAAAACUGAUCAGAGUCAAGCUGAGCCUAUUGACCGCUUUCCAUGUCCACAGAGAUAAACACGAACAAACCUAAGAUAAAACCCCACUGAGUGCACUUCCCUGGGACCAUUUCGAGAGCUUCCGACCUCUGGGAACACAUAUGUGAGCCAGCAGGAUGGCCACAUCACCCACAGGGCAGUGUAGAGGUGGAUGCCAAACGCAGAGAAACUGAGUCAUAAAUGCCUGUAACUCUUCCUGUGGGUGUGAGGAUCCUAUCUCUCAACCCAGCUUGAAUGGGAUUUGUUUCUGCAACUGGAAUAAUCUUAAAUUAUCCAUUCUGACACCAGAGACUCAGCACUUUCAGGCAAAUAUGAAUCUAGGUGCUUCUGGAAAGGUCCUCCGUGUACUGCUUAAUCUCUCCAGCCAAUAGACAUCAACAGUCUAAACAACGGGAAAGUCUCGAGGUCCCGAGAGCAGAACUGAAAUUCGUCGGAGGAAGAGCUCUUCAAGGCUCAUCAAACAAAGGGCACGCUCAUCUUGCACGAGGAAAAGAGGGCCGCUUCUGAUACAUCUGGUGAAUUCAUCUGUUGUCAGAGAAGGUGCAGCCAAGGGUCCAGAGGAAUGACCUUCUCUAGGCUCUUUCUGCAAACUGUCUGCGUUUUAUCAAUGGUCUUGACUUCAUAAAACAAAACAGCAUGAGAGGCAGUUAUCCAAGCGCGUGAGCUUCCAACUGUCAGGAUACAGACAGGCAAGAGUCCUGGAGGCAAGCAGCCUGUGACCUCAGACAUAGGAGGCCCUCAGAUUCAUUUGCUUCGGGUGUUGAAAUCAAGCAAGAAAGCAGUUACUGUUGAGUGUUAGUGCUAUUCCAACCUCAAUGAGAUUUUAUCUAUGGGGAGAAAGAUUAGGGGAGACCAAAUUUAUUGUCAUUCAGAGGAAGUAUUUAUAAACUUGGCAGAGUCUCAUGCGAGAGAGUAGAACAAAGGCUGCCAAACAGAUUCAUAAAUCGAAACGAAUGACCUGAAAGUAUUUUCCGCUGCAUACACGUGGUUCUAUAUGCACUGUGCCGCUCCAGCUCAGCACUGGAUUGCCCUGUGUGGUGCUGAUGUUGCUAUCUCCGUUGUAGGCAUGGGGUAGGGUGGGGAAGCUUGAAAUCGUACCAGCUAAAAUCAGGACAGAGCAGAAAGGAUGCUGUGAGGACAAGGCUGCUGUCAGUGUAGACUGUUCCUGAGCUGUUGCAGAGAAAAUAACAAGGGUAACGCUGGGGGAAAAACUGCAAGUGGGCUAGAUCUGACUGGGGAGAACAUAAAAGAAAGAAUAACAGCAUAAAAUAAAAGGAUGUGGUAGGAUGAUGAAGGAAAUUGACCUGCAAAGCAUAUGGGCCUGAUUUUGCUAAUAAAGUUUUAUUGGAAACAA